rnacentral:rRNA from 1 species
CUACGGGAUGCACCAGUCGAGAAUAUUGGUCAAUGGGGGAAACCCUGAACCAGCGACGCCGCGUGCGGGAAGAAGGCCUUCGGGUCGUAAACCGCUUUUAUUAGGGAAAAACCUUCGGGUGAUUGUACCUAAUGAAUAAGGGGAGCCUAAUUCUGUGCCAGCAGGCGCGGUAAUUCAGAAUCCUCAAGCGUUAUCCGGAUUUAUUGGGCGUAAAGGGUCCGUAGGUGGUCAGGAAAGUCUCCGGUUAAAUACCCAGGGCUUAACCUUGGGAAUGCUGGAGAUACUUCCUAACUAGAGGGCGCUAGGGGCUGAUGGAACGGUCGGUGUAGGGGUGAAAUCCGUUGAUAUCGACCGGAACACCAAAAGCGAAGGCAUUCAGCUGGGGCGACCCUGACACUGAGGGACGAAAGCGUGGGUAGCAAAAAGGAUUAGAUACCCCGGUAGUC